AUUUAUGAAAUGAGGAAUGGAUUUCAAUCUAUAACUUAAUCAAUCAAUAACUUAAUCUUGUUAAGUGACCGCUCACCAGCUAUAUGGCAUUAUCGAUAACUUUUAGUAAAUAAUUGUCGACUAUACCACCACUAACCAUACAACAGUGUUAUAUCACGAUUGAGUGAUAGGUUGGGCAAAGCGAUCCGUUAAGUUAACGGUGUGACGUCAUUAUUUCCGAAAUUGCAUCAAGCGCUUUUGUAUGGAUUGAAAUAACGUUUAUUCCGCUCGGCGCUAACGGACUAAAUGAAAAUUGAAAACCGAAAACUGAAAACUGGCAACAAGCGAGCGAAACAAAAUGGAAAUCGGCAUUUCAUCAGCUGAUACACCUGUUUUAUUAUGUCCAUACCAGGAGUACAAUCAAUCACGCGAGAAUCUUUAGCUGGUGUUUACUGUGCAUAGCGGCAAACGAAAUAAAUGAAUUUGCUUUACAUAUCAGCUGAUAGUUAUCGCUAUGUGGACACAAGCUCAAUGCUAUAAAUCGAAGCUGCAAAUGUUCCAGACCUGGACCCUCAGUUUUACUGCACGAGCAUAACGGAAAUUUAAAAAAAUUUCCUUUUCGGCACACAAAACUCAACUGGUUAAUCAACGUAUGCGAACUGAUGCCUGCAGCAAGCCCUGGUAGAAGACACGAUAGUAAAAGUGAUUAAUAGCUGCUCAGAAUAUAAAAAUUAGCAAAAACCUUAAAUUGUUCAACUCGUGGAUUUAGUUUAAUUUAGUCUACUAGCUUUAAGACAAAUAACAGUGUCAACGUUGCAUGAUUUUCAUACAAAUUCAAACGCGCGCCCACCAUUUUCUGAAAUAAUGACGUCACGCUGUCAAAUCAGCUGUUCGCUUUGCAUAACCUACUAUCACUAUGGUGGAAUCAGGACAAAAAGUAAGAGAAACGAUUAGC
rnacentral:sRNA from 1 species